CAAAAUAAUUUCUCAUCCUGUAUUCACCUUUCUUCUUGUGAUGGUGUGAGGUGAUAACAUGUCUCUGUGGUGAGGUGAAUGGCAUAGGCAUUGUGACACAGCGUUAGCCUAUAAUUGACCUAUUGAUGAUUCAUUGGAAGAUCAUCUGCUUACAGACCGUGGUUGCCUGUGAGUAGCCGAAGUCACCCAGCAGUUAAACUAUGGAUAAGGGGGGCUGCUGUAUGAAGAGCUCCAGGAAAAGAAAAAAAAGGACUAUAUGGAGAAAUAAAUUUUUAAAAAAGAGGGCAAUUCUCUGGAGAAAGACAAGUUUUUAGAUUCAUAACGGUUGCCAAGACUCAGCCCCCAUUCUCUAGGGAGGAGAGAGGCUGGAAAUGGAUCAUGCCUCCAGAAAUGAAGCCUCCACAAAAAU